rnacentral:misc_RNA from 1 species
GUAAAAUUAGGGUUUCUCGGAUUCCGAAGACAUUCCGCCAGGCUUGCUCCGGCGAUAAAUUCAUAAACUAGAUAAAUGUAAUUCCCCGAAAUCGACGCGCCAAGGAGCUUCACCAAACUAUUAUGGUGGCUCCGGCAGAUAACAGACAACUGAUGCUUCAACUCCGGCAACUCGAUCGGGCGGAGCAAUUUCCGCUGAAAG